CCUACGGGUGGCUGCAGUGAGGAAUAUUGGUCAAUGGACGCAAGCCUGAACCAGCCAUGCCGCGUGAAGGAUGAAGGCUCUAUGAUUUGUAAACUUCUUUUAUAUGAGGAUAAAGUGAGGAACGUGUUCCUUUUUGUAUGUACCAUAUGAAUAAGCAUCGGCUAACUCCGUGCCAGCAGCCGCGGUAAUACGGAGGAUUCGAGCGUUAUCCGGAUUUAUUGGGUUUAAAGGGUGCGUAGGUGGUUAAUUAAGUUAGCGGUGAAAGUCUGUGGCUCAACCAUAGAAUUGCCUCUGAUACUGGUUGGCUUGAGUUUAGUUGCGGUAGGCGGAAUGUGUGGUGUAGCGGUGAAAUGCAUAGAGAUCACGCAGAACUCCGAUUGCGAAGGCAGCUUACUAAACUAUAACUGACACUGAGGCACGAAAGCGUGGGGAUCAAACAGGAUUAGAUACCCCGGUAGUC
rnacentral:rRNA from 1 species